AAAUUUGAAAUCUGGCCCUAUCGGGGUCCGAGUUGUAAUUUGUAGAGAGUGCUUCGGGUGAGACCGCGGUCUAAGUCCAUUGGAACAUGGCGUCACAGAGGGUGAGAAUCCCGUACGUGACUGUGGCUCGAGCCCAUGUGAAGCCUCUUCGACGAGUCGAGUUGUUUGGGAAUGCAGCUCAAAAUGGGUGGUAAAUUUCAUCUAAAGCUAAAUACUGGCUGGAGACCGAUAGCGCACAAGUAGAGUGAUCGAAAGAUGAAAAGCACUUUGGAAAGAGAGUCAAACAGUACGUGAAAUUGUUGAAAGGGAAGCGCUUGCAACCAGACCUGCCCGUGGGCGAUCAGCCGCUGUUCUCAGCGGUGCACUCGUUCUGCGAUCAGGCCAGCAUCGGUUCUGGCGGUCGGAUAAAGGCCUUGGGAAUGUAGCUCCCUUCNGGGAGUCUUAUAGCCCUCGGUGCAAUGCGGCCAUCCGGGACCGAGGACCGCGCUUCGGCUA
rnacentral:rRNA from 1 species